rnacentral:misc_RNA from 1 species
AGCAGCCGCGGUAAUUCCAGCUCCAAUAGCGUAUAUUAAAGUUGUUGCAGUUAAAAAGCUCGUAGUUGAAUUUCGGGAUCAAUAUGUUGGUCGUGCCUUGGUACGUACUGGCAUUAUUGGUUUUACCUUCUGAAGAACCUCGAUGUCAUUAAUUUGGUGUCUUGGGGAAUCAGGACUGUUACUUUGAAAAAAUUAGAGUGUUUAAAGCAGGCUCGCGCUUGAAUACAUUAGCAUGGAAUAAUGAAAUAGGACGUUUGAUUCUAUUUUGUUGGUUUCUAGGAUUGACGUAAUGAUUAAUAGGGAUAGUUGGGGGCAUUAGUAUUCAAUUGUCAGAGGUGAAAUUCUUGGAUUUAUUGAAGACUAACUACUGCGAAAAGCAUUUGCCAAGGAUGUUUUCAUUAAUCAAGAACGAAAGUUAGGGGAUCGAAGACGAUCAGAUACCGUCGUAGUCUUAACCAUAAACUAUGCCGACUAGGGAUCGGAUGAUGUUAAUUUUUUAAUGACUCAUUCGGCGCCUUAC